GAUGAACGCUGGCGGCGUGCCUAAUACAUGCAAGUCGAGCGAACGGACGAGAAGCUUGCUUCUCUGAUGUUAGCGGCGGACGGGUGAGUAACACGUGGAUAACCUACCUAUAAGACUGGGAUAACUUCGGGAAACCGGAGCUAAUACCGGAUGAUAUUUUGAACCGCAUGGUUCAAAAGUGAAAGACGGUCUUGCUGUCACUUAUAGAUGGAUCCGCGCUGCAUUAGCUAGUUGGUAAGGUAACGGCUUACCAAGGCAACGAUGCAUAGCCGACCUGAGAGGGUGAUCGGCCACACUGGAACUGAGACACGGUCCAGACUCCUACGGGAGGCAGCAGUAGGGAAUCUUCCGCAAUGGGCGAAAGCCUGACGGAGCAACGCCGCGUGAGUGAUGAAGGUCUGCGGAUCGUAAAACUCUGUUAUUAGGGAAGAACAUAUGUGUAAGUAACUGUGCACAUCUUGACGGUACCUAAUCAGAAAGCCACGGCUAACUACGUG
rnacentral:rRNA from 1 species